UCCCUUCGNGGAACCAAGUGACAGGUNCCGCAUGGUUGUCGUCAGCUCGUGUCGUGAGAUGUUGGGUUAAGUCCCGCAACGANCGCNACCCCUAAUCUUAGUUGCCAGCAUUCAGUUGGGCACUCUAAGGUGACUGCCGGUGACAAACCGGAGGAAGGCGGGGAUGACGUCAAAUCAUCAUGCCCCUUAUGACCUGGGCUACACACGUGCUACAAUGGAUGGUACAAAGGGCAGCGAAGCCGCGAGGUGUAGCAAAUCCCAUAAAACCAUUCUCAGUUCGGAUUGCANGCUGCAACUCGCCUGCAUGAAGCCGGAAUCGCUAGUAAUCGCGGAUCAGCAUGCCGCGGUGAAUACGUUCCCGGGCCUUGUACACACCGCCCGUCACACCACGAGAGUUGGCAACACCCGAAGUCGGUGAGGUAACCUUUUUGGAGCCAGCCNCCNAA
rnacentral:rRNA from 1 species